rnacentral:rRNA from 1 species
GCGAGUCGAAUGUAGCAAUACAUGGCGAACUGCUCAGUAACACGUGGACAACCUGCCCUUAGGACGGGGAUAAACCCGGGAAACUGGGUAUAAUACCCGAUAGGUCUCGAUUGCUGGAAUGCAUCGAGAUUUAAAGCUCCGGCGCCUAAGGAUGGGUCUGCGGCCUAUCAGGUAGUAGUGGGUGUAGCGUACCUACUAGCCUACGACGGGUACGGGUUGUGAGAGCAAGAGCCCGGAGAUGGAUUCUGAGACACGAAUCCAGGCCCUACGGGGUGCAGCAGGCGCGAAAACUUUACAAUGCUGGCAACAGCGAUAAGGGAACCUCGAGUGCCAGGUUACAAAUCUGGCUGUCGAGAUGCCUAAAAAGCAUUUCAUAGCAAGGGCCGGGCAAGACCGGUGCCAGCCGCCGCGGUAACACCGGCGGCUCGAGUGGUAACCGUUAUUAUUGGGUCUAAAGGGUCUGUAGCCGGCCGGAUAAGUCUCUUGAGAAAUCUGGCAGCUUAACUGUCAGGCUUUCAGGAGAUACUGUCUGGCUCGAGGCCGGGAGAGGUGAGAGGUACUUCAGGGGUAGGGGUGAAAUCUUGUAAUCCUUGAAGGACCACCAGUGGCGAAGGCGUCUCACCAGAACGGACCUGACGGCAAGGGACGAAAGCUAGGGGCACGAACCGGAUUAGAUACCCGGGUAGUCCUAGCCGUAAACGAUACUCGCUAGGUGUCGGCCACGGUGCGACCGUUGUCGGUGCCGUAGGGAAGCCGUGAAGCGAGCCACCUGGGAAGUACGGCCGCAAGGCUGAAACUUAAAGGAAUUGGCGGGGGAGCACCACAACGGGUGGAGC